rnacentral:rRNA from 1 species
AUUGAACGCUGGCGGCAGGCCUAACACAUGCAAGUCGAGCGAGCGGCGCACGGGUGAGUAAUGUAUGGGGACUGCCCGAUAGAGGGGGAUAACUACUGGAAACGGUAUCUAAUACCCCAUACUAUCGGAUAACCCAUAUGGGAUUAUCUAUUAGGUGGGGUAAUGGCUCACCUAGGCUACGAUCCCUAGCUGGUCUGAGAGGAUGAUCAGCCACACUGGGACUGAGACACGGCCCAGAGUCCUACGGAGGCAGCAGUGGGGAAUAUUGCACAAUGGGCGCAAGCCUGAUGCAGCCAUGCCGCGUGUAUGAAGAAGGCCCUAGGGUUGUAAAGUACUUUCAGUCGGGAGGCGUUACCGACAGAAGAAGCACCGGCUAACUCCGUGCCAGCAGCCGCGGUAAUAC